rnacentral:rRNA from 1 species
GACGAACGCUGGCGGCGUGCUUAACACAUGCAAGUCGAACGGUAAGGCCCUUCGGGGUACACGAGUGGCGAACGGGUGAGUAACACGUGGGUGAUCUGCCCUGCACUUCGGGAUAAGCCUGGGAAACUGGGUCUAAUACCGGAUAGGACCACUGCCUGCAUGGGUGGUGGAAAGCAUUUGCGGUGGGGGAUGGGCCCGCGGCCUAUCGGCUUGUUGGUGGGGUGAUGGCCUACCAAGGGGACGACGGGUAGCCGGCCUGCGAGGGUGACCGGCCACACUGGGACUGAGAUACGGCCCAGACUCCUACGGGAGGCAGCAGUGGGGAAUAUUGCACAAUGGGCGCAAGCCUGAUGCAGCGACGCCGCGUGAGGGAUGACGGCCUUCGGGUUGUAAACCUCUUUCAGCACCGACGAAGCGCAAGUGACGGUAGGUGCAGAAGAAGGACCGGCCAACUACGUGCCAGCCGCCGCGGUAACAC